UAGAGGAAGACGAAUGAAGCUGCACACCUAAGCUGAUGCCUCAAGUUUGUGCUUUAUCUUCUGGAAAAGGUGUGCUUCCUUGGGGUAGGAGGAAUAAAUGGCUUGAGUUUCUGUGAACACAAACAAGAGAUCAGUGAAGGAACAGCAAAGAAGGGCAAAGGGGCAGCAUCUAAGAGGAAAGAUUAGGAGAAUAUACAGACAGAAAUCCGGAUUGGUAGAUAACUGUGAUUCAAACUGGCCGCCUGAGCUGCUUGUU